GAUGAACGCUGGCGGCGUGCCUAAUACAUGCAAGUCGAGCGAACAGAUGAGGAGCUUGCUCCUCUGACGUUAGCGGCGGACGGGUGAGUAACACGUGGAUAACCUACCUAUAAGACUGGGAUAACUUCGGGAAACCGGAGCUAAUACCGGAUAAUAUAUUGAACCGCAUGGUUCAAUAGUGAAAGACGGUUUUGCUGUCACUUAUAGAUGGAUCCGCGCCGCAUUAGCUAGUUGGUAAGGUAACGGCUUACCAAGGCAACGAUGCGUAGCCGACCUGAGAGGGUGAUCGGCCACACUGGAACUGAGACACGGUCCAGACUCCUACGGGAGGCAGCAGUAGGGAAUCUUCCGCAAAGGGCGAAAGCCUGACGGAGCAACGCCGCGUGAGUGAUGAAGGUCUUCGGAUCGUAAAACUCUGUUAUUAGGGAAGAACAAAUGUGUAACUAACUAUGCACGUCUUGACGGUACCUAAUCAGAAAGCCACGGCUAACUACGUG
rnacentral:rRNA from 1 species